AGUAGAAGGAUAACAUGACAUAGCAGGAAUAAUACUGCCUUUUCUUUCUGGCAUGGAUCAAGAGAAAAGAAAAUACAAGAAAACAGACAGAAGCAAGGCAAGGUACUUCUAUGGAAGGGUGAGCCCUCACAGAUGGAGCAAUGGGGCGCGCACACCUGAACAAGGGAGGGGAAGGAGUUCUUAUCCCUGAUGCAUGUGACCCCUGCUGCUGUGUCCUUCCCCUAUUGGCUAAGGCUUCUGACAGCUUUGGAGAUUGUGACAUUGGAAUAAAGGAAAAACGUACAGGACUCAUGAAGCGCUGAAAUGUUCACAAAUAUCAAGCAAAAGUCAAUGAAAUUUAUUUUGAGCUAUUUACAUCAUUUAAUAAUUGAGCAAGGUAUACUCCUAUGAACAAAAUUUGGAGCAUGUUUGUCUCUCUCUGCCUGGCGUCUUCAGAAUUUGGAAACUAGUUAAAAUUGUUGUCUUAUUUUCAUCCUCUUUAAAAGAUGGUUUAUAAUCAGCUAUAGAAUUUUAACACGUGCUCUCAAAUGCAAGUUUCUGAUAACUUUGGAGAUUGUGACAUUGGAAUAAAGGAAGAGCUGGAAUGUUCAUGAAUAUCAAGCAAAAGUCAUGGAAAUUUAUUUUGAGCUAUUUACAGCAUUUAAUAAUUGAGCAAGGUAUACUCCUAUGAACAAAAUUUGGAGCAUGUUUGUCUCUCUCUGUCUGCCUGGCAUCUACAGAAUUUGGAAACUAGUUUCGUUCCCAGAUUUCCUAAACUUUCCAGAGAAAAUGGUCUUCUCCCUGGCUCAGCAAGAAGAUGAACUUUAAACACUGAGAAACUGGUCAUCUCCCUGGCUCAACCAGAAGAUGAACUUUAAACACUACUCUCAAUGACUUGAUGUUCCCAUCACUACUCCUGUCAUAAAGGGAGGGGACUCAGAUAUUGAGAAUUUUAUGAUAGUGUGAACUGUCUGCUGUCAGCCAGGAGGGCAGAGCUGAAAUUUAUUGCCACAUCACAUGAAGCAUAGAACAGACUCCACUACUCCUUGAGAUUCAAAACUUUGCCUCUCACAAAGUUACCUUUUAUUUUCCUCUUGUUUGUCACUCAUCUCCCCUAGUGUGCUCUUUUUAUUUCUUUUACUAUUAAUAAUAAAAUCUGUGGAUGACUG
rnacentral:lncRNA from 1 species